UUAAGCGACUAAGCGUACACGGUGGAUGCCCUGGCAGUCAGAGGCGAUGAAGGACGUGCUAAUCUGCGAUAAGCGUCGGUGAGGUGAUAUGAACCGUUAUAACCGGCGAUUUCCGAAUGGGGAAACCCAGUGUGUUUCGACACACUAUCAUUAACUGAAUCCAUAGGUUAAUGAGGCGAACCGGGGGAACUGAAACAUCUAAGUACCCGAGGAAAAGAAAUCAACCGAGAUUCCCCCAGUAGCGGCGAGCGAACGGGGAGGAGCCCAGAGCCUGAAUCAGUGUGUGUGUUAGUGGAAGCGUCUGGAAAGGCGCGCGAUACAGGGUGACAGCCCCGUACACAAAAAUGCACAUAUUGUGAGCUCGAUGAGUAGGGCGGGACACGUGGUAUCCUGUCUGAAUAUGGGGGACCAUCCUCCAAGGCUAAAUACUCCUGACUGACCGAUAGUGAACCAGUACCGUGAGGGAAAGGCGAAAAGAACCCCGGCGAGGGGAGUGAAAAAGAACCUGAAACCGUGUACGUACAAGCAGUGGGAGCCUCUUAAUGGGGUGACUGCGUACCUUUUGUAUAAUGGGUCAGCGACUUAUAUUCUGUAGCAAGGUUAACCGAAUAGGGGAGCCGAAGGGAAACCGAGUCUUAACUGGGCGUUAAGUUGCAGGGUAUAGACCCGAAACCCGGUGAUCUAGCCAUGGGCAGGUUGAAGGUUGGGUAACACUAACUGGAGGACCGAACCGACUAAUGUUGAAAAAUUAGCGGAUGACUUGUGGCUGGGGUGAAAGGCCAAUCAAACCGGGAGAUAGCUGGUUCUCCCGAAAGCUAUUUAGGUAGCGCCUCGUGAAUUCAUCUCCGGGGGUAGAGCACUGUUUCGGCAAGGGGGUCAUCCCGACUUACCAACCCGAUGCAAACUGCGAAUACCGGAGAAUGUUAUCACGGGAGACACACGGCGGGUGCUAACGUCCGUCGUGAAGAGGGAAACAACCCAGACCGCCAGCUAAGGUCCCAAAGUCAUGGUUAAGUGGGAAACGAUGUGGGAAGGCCCAGACAGCCAGGAUGUUGGCUUAGAAGCAGCCAUCAUUUAAAGAAAGCGUAAUAGCUCACUGGUCGAGUCGGCCUGCGCGGAAGAUGUAACGGGGCUAAACCAUGCACCGAAGCUGCGGCAGCGACACUAUGUGUUGUUGGGUAGGGGAGCGUUCUGUAAGCCUGUGAAGGUGGCCUGUGAGGGUUGCUGGAGGUAUCAGAAGUGCGAAUGCUGACAUAAGUAACGAUAAAGCGGGUGAAAAGCCCGCUCGCCGGAAGACCAAGGGUUCCUGUCCAACGUUAAUCGGGGCAGGGUGAGUCGACCCCUAAGGCGAGGCCGAAAGGCGUAGUCGAUGGGAAACAGGUUAAUAUUCCUGUACUUGGUGUUACUGCGAAGGGGGACGGAGAAGGCUAUGUUGGCCGGGCGACGGUUGUCCCGGUUUAAGCGUGUAGGCUGGUUUUCCAGGCAAAUCCGGAAAAUCAAGGCUGAGGCGUGAUGACGAGGCACUACGGUGCUGAAGCGACAAAUGCCCUGCUUCCAGGAAAAGCCUCUAAGCAUCAGGUAACAUCAAAUCGUACCCCAAACCGACACAGGUGGUCAGGUAGAGAAUACCAAGGCGCUUGAGAGAACUCGGGUGAAGGAACUAGGCAAAAUGGUGCCGUAACUUCGGGAGAAGGCACGCUGAUAUGUAGGUGAAGCGACUUGCUCGUGGAGCUGAAAUCAGUCGAAGAUACCAGCUGGCUGCAACUGUUUAUUAAAAACACAGCACUGUGCAAACACGAAAGUGGACGUAUACGGUGUGACGCCUGCCCGGUGCCGGAAGGUUAAUUGAUGGGGUUAGCGGUAACGCGAAGCUCUUGAUCGAAGCCCCGGUAAACGGCGGCCGUAACUAUAACGGUCCUAAGGUAGCGAAAUUCCUUGUCGGGUAAGUUCCGACCUGCACGAAUGGCGUAAUGAUGGCCAGGCUGUCUCCACCCGAGACUCAGUGAAAUUGAACUCGCUGUGAAGAUGCAGUGUACCCGCGGCAAGACGGAAAGACCCCGUGAACCUUUACUAUAGCUUGACACUGAACAUUGAGCCUUGAUGUGUAGGAUAGGUGGGAGGCUUUGAAGUGUGGACGCCAGUCUGCAUGGAGCCGACCUUGAAAUACCACCCUUUAAUGUUUGAUGUUCUAACGUGGGCCCCUUACCGGGGUUGCGGACAGUGUCUGGUGGGUAGUUUGACUGGGGCGGUCUCCUCCUAAAGAGUAACGGAGGAGCACGAAGGUUGGCUAAUCCUGGUCGGACAUCAGGAGGUUAGUGCAAUGGCAUAAGCCAGCUUGACUGCGAGCGUGACGGCGCGAGCAGGUGCGAAAGCAGGUCAUAGUGAUCCGGUGGUUCUGAAUGGAAGGGCCAUCGCUCAACGGAUAAAAGGUACUCCGGGGAUAACAGGCUGAUACCGCCCAAGAGUUCAUAUCGACGGCGGUGUUUGGCACCUCGAUGUCGGCUCAUCACAUCCUGGGGCUGAAGUAGGUCCCAAGGGUAUGGCUGUUCGCCAUUUAAAGUGGUACGCGAGCUGGGUUUAGAACGUCGUGAGACAGUUCGGUCCCUAUCUGCCGUGGGCGCUGGAGAACUGAGGGGGCUGCUCCUAGUACGAGAGGACCGGAGUGGACGCAUCACUGGUGUUCGGGUUGUCAUGCCAAUGGCACUGCCCGGUAGCUAAAUGCGGAAGAGAUAAGUGCUGAAAGCAUCUAAGCACGAAACUUGCCCCGAGAUGAGUUCUCCCUGACUCCUUGAGAGUCCUGAAGGAACGUUGAAGACGACGACGUUGAUAGGCCGGGUGUGUAAGCGCAGCGAUGCGUUGAGCUAACCGGUACUAAUGAACCGUGAGGCUUAACCUUACAA
rnacentral:rRNA from 1 species